ACAUUGAUGGUUUAGUGGUAGAAUUCUCACCUUCCAUGAGUCCUGGGUUCAAUUCCUGGCCAGUGUA
rnacentral:tRNA from 1 species